rnacentral:rRNA from 1 species
GGGCCCGCACAAGCGGUGGAGCAUGUGGUUUAAUUCGAUGCAACGCGAAGAACCUUACCAGGACUUGACAUGUUGUAAAUACUUUUGAAAAAGAGUAGUGCCUUCGGGAAUACAAACACAGGUGGUGCAUGGCUGUCGUCAGCUCGUGUUGUGAGAUGUUGGGUUAAGUCCCGCAACGAGCGUAACCCUUAUUUUUAGUUGCUAUACUCGCUAUAGGUCUUUAGAAAGACUGCCGGUGAUAAAUCGGAGGAAGGUGAGGACGACGUCAAGUCAGCAUGCCCCUUAUGCUCUGGGCUACACACGUGCUACAAUGGUUAAGACAAGGAGUUGCCAGUUCGUGAGGAUUAGCUAAUCUCGUAAACUUAACUAAAGUUCAGAUUGUAGGCUGCAACUCGCCUACAUGAAGUUGGAAUCGCUAGUAAUCG